rnacentral:rRNA from 2 species
UACGUAGGGGGCGAGCGUUAUCCGGAUUCAUUGGGCGUAAAGCGCGCGCAGGCGGCCCGCCAAGCGGCCUCGUCGAAGCCGGGGGCUCAACCCCCGGAAGCGACCCGAACUGGCGGGCUCGAGUGGGGCAGGGGAGGAUGGAAUUCCCGGUGUAGCGGUGAAAUGCGCAGAUAUCGGGAGGAACACCGACGGCGAAGGCAGCCCUCUGGGCCUUCACUGACGCUGAGGCGCGAAAGCUGGGGGAGCGAACAGG